ACAGCCAUAUUGCAUUGAAACAUCUGUUCCUGAAGAAUCACUGAAGUUAAGCAAUGUUGAGCUGGGUCAGUACCUAGAUGGGUGACCAUUUGGGAAUACCACAUGCU